rfam:Choloepus hoffmanni cont1.643132, whole genome shotgun sequence.
AAUUAUUUCAGAGAAAAUUGUUUACAUUAAAAACGGCUGAGAGUUGUUUGAACUGUGAUUGCCAAAAGAAUUGGAGGAUAAACAUUCAACUUGUCAAGAUUUCUUUGGAAAAAUCCCU